GAGAUGACUUUUCUGUAAGGCAAGUAAUACUGUCAUCCAUAUGUGACAAAUGAAGAAACUGAGGCUUUGUGAGGUUAAGUAACUUGGCCAAGGUUAUAGUAAAGGUGGAGCUGAGACUGACUGAAGUCUGACUCCUUAUAUGGGUGACUUGAGCUUAAUAAAUGCAUGGAUUUAUCAAGUUCAACUCCCAAGAUUGCUGCUGUGCAGCACGAUUACUGUCCGUUGUUUUCCUCUUAUCUGCGAAGUAGUGUUGCUGAUAGUACUUACCUCCAAAUGACAUUAUGAGGAUUCAGUGAGUCAGCACAUAAGGCACUGUGCACAGUGCUCACUGCAUAGUGAUCCCUUGGUAAAUGUUGGCUACUGUCAGCAUCAUUAGCAACAAUUAUCACAGUACACGUGUGUGCCGAACCACAUGUGUCUCAGAGCAGUGUCCUCACCUUCUCUACCUUGGCCAUGGUUGCCUUGAGGGUCUGGGCACAGACAGCAUCUGAGCUCCAGGGAUCAUCAUAGUAGGGAAACAGCUCUCUCCCAGUGUUUGUCCAGGGUCAACACUGGCUUCAGCUGACCCCAGGAAUAGACUGGUCUCUUAGUAUUUGAGAAAAUACCUCUUUUCCUGGGAACAAAACAACAAUGCAAUGUAGCUCAUAAAAUAUUUGCCCUUGCUGUUUUAUGACCUGUGAGACAUCAAGGAUAUACAGAUCCAUGAUAUUUGUAGCAGGUGUCAUUUUUUAAAACACACUCAAAGUAAAUAUCAUUGUCAAACAACACACUGAAGAUUUUAUUUGAUGGUAAAAACUCAAGCAUGGCAUUCAAUCCUUCUUCCAGUUCAUAUUCCCCUGUAUCAGUGAGAAUGGAUUUUAAAAGUUCAAGACUUGUGUGGAUAUUAUCUCACUGUCUUCCUUCGGGCAGAUGGUGUGUGGCAGGCGAAUUUACUGACUUUUCUGUUAAGACUUCUCUGUAGAUGUUAAGAAAGUUUGAAGUUUUUGAGGAGAUGUUUUACUGGAGACAGAGUGCUGUACUGCCUCCUCCUCUGUGAGAUGAGAGCCUUAUUGCAGUCAGCGUGUCUGCAUUUAGCUGCCCAGUUGUGUCCAUAAUUUUAUGUUCUCAGUUUUGUUGUGUGGGGAAGAAAGAGAUAGUCAUGUCAAAAGGGGGCAUGGUUUCUUAAUGUGGAAGUCUAAAGAAUACACAGAAAUAACUACCUCUGCCUUCACAGGAUUUCUGUCAGAUUUUUGCCUAAUUAUAAAAGAAGUGCAGCAUAGAGGUCUUAUUACUGUGGCUAAGAUGAAGGAAAACACUCUCACGAUCAAUCCUCCAUGAUUUUAUUAUUAUUGAUAAUUCAAACGAUAUGACUGUACUCUUUGAGCACUGACGAGCACCAAGUGUAUUUUUAAACAUGCCAAGUGUGAUUAGUACUCCUUCUACACAUUCCCUUAAAUUUGUAAAAUCAUGUAAUGUGUUUGUUUUUUAUUUUAUAUUUAGAAUUAUUGCCUUGUAAACUCUCUUGCCAUACUGCAAGCAGUGCAAAGAGACCCAUUUUAAUUUUGCACGUGUAUUGUCAAGAAUCAUUAUGAAGAUCUACAAGUAAGGGUUGAACAGUUGUUCCUGAUGGAAAUGACGCAGACAGAAAGAAAAAGGAAUUGAGGAGCCUCUCAGUCUAAAAACAGGCAUAUAAGUGAUAUCUUAGUAAUUCGUGUCAGAAUGCCCCAAAAUCUGUUUUACGUUUUCUUUGCUUCAUGGAAAGGCUACAGACUGGGUUAAGUAUUUUUGCAGAGAUUUCUAUUCCACAUAGCCUUGACUCCUUCAAAGCAAAUUUGUUUUCUCUUUUACCUUUAGUUUCCUCAAACAAAUUGGGACUAAAGUCACCAGUGAAAUAAUGCGGGAUGUAUUGACUUAGGGGAGAUAUGUUUUUAAUUUUAACUUCUUGGGAAGUUGAGUUGACGUAAAUCCUCUUUACCAUAGUCUGCUGAGUUUUGCGUACUCUAGUUCUAAUCAAAAGUCAGACAAAGUCAAAAGAAUCUGGAGUUAAUAAAAUUCUCCUAUUUGUUUUCCUUCACAACAGUGAUAUGUCUUAGACUUUUACGCUUUAAUACCCCUCAUGAAGACAUACCACAGUACUACAUGUAGGCUAGCUUUAGAAAAUCUUGGAAUUAUGGUUUAAAUUGUAUAGUCAUUAACUGACAGAAUUUGCUUUUCUAAAAUACAACUUUUAAAAUUAGUUGUUGUGACCUUUAUAAACAUUAAGAAUUAAGGUAGAAUGUAAGUGAUGCAGUCUCAUUAAAUUUAAUCAAGUUCAAUAAAAAUUCCAAAUUCAAAAACCGUCUUCAUAAAACUGUGCGUUAUCACCAAACCAUUAAAUAGCACAUCAGUUUAAAAUUAUUAAAAAUUGCUAAGUAUCCAUUUAGCAUGAGAUACGUGUUAUGACUGCAGACACCUCCAAAACAAAUCGACAGUCUAUUGCACUGCAUUCUGAGAAUGUAAAAGCACCAUUACUUACUGUUAAUGGUACUUCUCUAAUGUAUGUAAAUACCUCAUCUGUACCCAAGCUCUUGGCAGUUAUUUCUUACUUCUUCCUAGACAGUUUAAAGAUCUUAAUUUAUUAAUAUUCACAACAAGUAGAAAGAUAAACACAUUGUUUUGAAGCCCUUGAUGGAUGGAGAUUGGAGAUGCACAGUGUUUGGGUUGAAUCAACAGCCGAGAGUAGAUAUUAACUUGUUGGCAGUAACUCAUGGCCCUGCAUGAAACAGAACCUGGAAGAGAGAAGAAGAAUUUAAAAUGCUGUUAUUGAGAAUCUCUGGAAGUAUAUUAUUCCAAGGUACCUUAGAUUUUAAAAUUUGGCCUCACCCUACACCUAUUUUAUGAUUUGUCCCCACUACAUCAAACUCAGUGUAUGCUCUUGCCAUGGUAAGCAUUUUUUAUUCACUUUACUGGAAAUGAUUGACAAGGACUUCUUCAGGAUACAUUGGGAGAGCAGUGUUUCCUAUUUAUUAUGUCCUUUCAUCUCUGCCUGACCUAGAAUAUUCAUGCUUCUGUCUUAACAGGUCCCAUGUUAUAAAAGUUUAAAAAAAAAGAACAAAAAGGAAUAUUCUGUGUUUUCUUGCAAACCCCAGCCCCCAAUCCAAACAAAGUGAAUGGCUUACAGACACGAGUGGUAGGAUUUUCACCAAUUUAGAUAUAAAAUGUGACAACGGACAGAAUCUACAUUCAAUGUCUGUAUCCUUCUCAAUUGCCACAGACUGGGUAGUAGGAAAGCAAAAGCAAAUUUUUGUAGUAAAAAUCUUCUUGGCAUUUUAUUUUUAUAGUAGAUUAGAUUCAGAGAUUUUAAUAAAAACUUGUCUUUAACUUUGUUUGAUAGAGAUGUACAAUCAGCUUAGCUUGGUUGCUUAAUAAAGUUAGAUACU
rnacentral:lncRNA from 1 species